AUGAUAUUUAUUGAGAUGUUGAAAGUACUACUGAAUUGCCUUGUUCUGGAUUGUUCUAUUUGCAGAUUUACAGAAAUGAAGAGAAAAAAUAUGAGCAUAAACAGUUUUUUUGCAAGUAGUUCAAUCACUCCUCGUGUCGAACCUGAUCCUAUCCCAGCCAGUCCACUGAUCCCAGAGAAUGUGAACCCAGAUCCCCUUCCCCUGAUUGUAGUGACCAUAGUUCCUCCUUCAACUAAUGAGAGAACUGAUCCCUCAACCCCAAGGGAUGAUAGAAAUGACACCACAUUUGAUGAAAGUACAAACCAACCAAGAAUGCCUAUACUAGAGUUUCAUCCAAGUCAAAUUAUUGCUGAUCCAGGACUUAGAAUUCCUAUAGAAGAUUAUGCCCCUGAAAUUAGAAGAAGUGAUGUGCGAAGAGCUUAUUUGUUGAACAAACGAAACAAAGCUGUUGGGCAUACAUUCAAGAACACAAAGGAUGGUAAAAUUUGGAGAUCCUUUCAACGUGCGUGGCUCGACAAGUUUGAUUGGUUGGAAUACAGUGUGGAUAAGGAGGCUGCGUUUUGCUUUCAUUGCUUUCUUUUCAAGAAACCAUCCCAGGCCAUUAGAUUUGGCAAUGAUGUUUUCAUGAAAGAUGGCUACACUCGUUGGAAAACAGGUCUAGCUAGUUUUGAAAAGCACGUUGGUGGUCAAUCUAGUUACCACAACAUUGCUAGGGGAGAUUGCGAUGAUUUCAACAAUCAACAAGCAAGUGUGGCUACCAAAUUCCCUGUGUACAGCAAGGAGUCUGAGAUAUCUUAUAAAAUCCGCCUAACUGCAUCAUUGGAUUGUGCAAGGUAUCUCAUAGCACAAGGUGAAGCUUUUCGUGGGCAUGAUGAAUCCUCCACUUCCAUCAAUAAGGGCAAUUUUAGAGAGUUGUUGGACUGGUACAAGAACAAGAAGGAAGAUGUGAAGGAGGCAUUUGAUAAGGGGGCUGGAAAUGCACAAAUGAUUUGUUCUGACAUCCAAAAGGACCUUGCUGCUGCUUGUGCAAUGGAGGUAACCAAAGUUAUUAAGAAUGACAUUGGAGAUAAGAAAUUCUCAAUACUUAUUGAUGAGGCUAGAGAUUGCUCAAUAAAGGAGCAAAUGGCGGUGAUUGUGAGAUUUCUAGAUGAUCACGGGGUGCUCCAAGAGAGAUUCCUUGCCAUUAAGCACAUCACAGAUUGUACAUCUGCUGGAAUUAAAGAAGCUUUGGUUGAUAUGUUGGAAUUUCAUGGUUUGCUACUGUGA
rnacentral:rRNA from 1 species